GGCGACCAGACGGGCAGGGCUUCCCGGACUGUGGACCUGAGGUCAUUAGACCACGUGCUCCCUCCGUGAACAGGGGUACAAGGGCAAAGGCUGGAAGGCCUUUAGAGACACCUCCGUACCCCCUUAUUUAACAAAUGGGGAAACUGAAGCACACAAUGGCGAGUUGAUGUGCCCUCUCAGUGACCCCCUUACCUUUGCUAACUCAGCUCGGACUCUGGUCUCAGGAUUCUCCCUCCAGAUGCCGGCUCAGCUAUGAAACGGCCCUGAGACCCUGGGUUGCUGCCACAGCAUGGCUUGAUGAGGGUAUAAGUUGGUGCCUGGGAUCCGAACCCACGAACCUGGGGUGCUGAAGCAGAGUGCACGAAACUUCAGCCACUCAGCCACGGGGCCAGCCGUACAAACAAUCUUUGAAUGGCCAGAGGCCUUCUCUCCACCAAGAGUGAGGUGGUAAGGGCAAGAAGGGAAGAAAUGACACUUGGUUAAGGAGCCACUGCUCAGGCGUGUCCACGGCCACCGCCAGUUCUCUUGGGCAGCCUAACAUCGGUCACAGUGGGCCCGCCUUCCUCCCUGUCUUCUGGGACCAGCCCACCCCAUCCCAGCUUCUCUGCCUGAAGCCAGUGGGUCAGUGAGGACGAGUGAGGACCCCAGACCCAGCUUGCCCACCGGUUUGUUAUGGGCUGCAGACUCUGGGUUCAAGGAGGGAAGUCAAAGGACUUUCCUUUUUACCUAACGUGUUUUAUCAGAAGUUUUGCAAGCUGGGGUUAUUGAAUAGUUUCC
rnacentral:lncRNA from 1 species